CACGUAGAAACACCAGUUUUCGUCAGACCACAGAAAUUAAGCAACAACGAGCCUAGUCAUUACCUAGAUGGGUGACCACUUGGGAAUACCAGAUUGGCUGUA